UUCAAAUCACAGCCUCAGUUUUGUAAUAUUUUGUGUAUAAUCUGAGUAUAUAAGAUGCAGGCUUUUGUGUAAAGCCCCUCAGACUUACUGUGAGUAAAUUUCAUCUUACUGUGAGUAAAUGUCAUCUAUUACAUAUAGGCUGUGUGACACAUAUUUCUGGCCAUGAUCCAGAACGCAGAUACCUCAGUGCUGAUGACUCCAGCAACUGGAAAAGUCUAAGGAGACAUCCACAUUUCACUUGGUUGCAAAAGAAAAAUGGUUCAUUUUGAGGAGGGCAUGGGGAUUGGCCAUCUGGGUGGGUGCCAUCCAAAACCCCAGGCAGUUCUGUAGCAUACUGCAUACCGCAAAGCAUAGCACCAUUGCAUGACCUCUAUAACCAGACCUCACCUGGUUAUAGAGGUUCAAUUUUUUUUUAAACAACGACCAAGAGUCUAUUUUACUUAUUGUUUAUGUUGUGUAUUUAUUUGGUGAUUUAUUUAGGAUAUUUCGGUGUUCCCAAUUCCAUUUCCAAUAUCUGAAUAUACUUAAUAGUUCAUUGCUCUUUGAACAUCAGUGUCAUAUAAAAACGUUUUAAAAUGAAUGUAACAUCAUUUAUUGCAAUUACUUCUGAAAAUAACUUCUAUGCAUUUGUUGUCCAACACAAGUAUUUUCAUAACUACAACAGUUUUGGAAUCUUUGUACUAUCAUUUGUUUGGUGACAUCUGGCAACACUGUCAGCAUUCAUCUGUAAAAGAAUACAGAUGGUCAAAUUGUAAAGUUUGUUGUCGAGAACCCCUGGACUAUGGGUGGGUGUUAAUUAAACAGUAUCAUCUCUAUGAUGUCACCAAUCUACAGCCAUCCGACAAACUCAUCUCCACAUCAAAGCAUCAUGUUUCCUGCGUGUGCUCCUGUGUGCACCCAUGCUCAUUUUGAAGUAUAAUUUGGUUUUCUGACAUUUCUGAAGGGACACACUUUUUUUGUUUAAUUUCCAAACAUGACAUCUGAUUAUUUUAUUUCCACUCUUUCAUACCUGAAGUACACAUUUUGGCAUUUUCUCACCAUUGUGAUUUUCUUGUACUUCCUUUUUGGUUCAUAAGCCAUUCGCCAGUGCUUUCCACAGCCAUUUGUUUUCUCGCCUCCAAGGAGAAAAAGUGUUGCCUUUUCUCCUCGCUUUGUUCCGUGAAGUAUUUAGUUUUUGCUUUCUCCUUGCUCUGUUCCUUGGAGACGGCAGCUGUUUUCAGAGAGGGCUUAAGGAUGCAAUGAGAGAGAAAAAAGAUGUCUGGCUAUUUUUAAAAGAUAUUUUGUUUUCUAAGUUGUUCUCAUUUUUUUCUCUCUCUCUCUCAGAUGUUGGAAGAAUGACAUUUGCAUUUAUAAAACGUGUUAAAAUGUGCUUUUAAAAGUGCACACUGCCAUUCCGUACCUGAUAACAUGCAGCACAAAGAACGCUGUGGUGCAUGCGCGUGCGCGCACACAGACAAACAGCGUGUAUUUCAGCGACAUACUGCCUCUCAUUUCGCCCUCUAAAAGUCAAAGCUGAGAGAGGGGCAAAGCACUACCCAGACAAAUGUGACACUUUCACACUUGUCUGCAUGGUUUAUUUCCAAUUUUUUUUUAAUCUCAUUGUGCUCAGUCUUCAUGCUGCUUGAUUCAUUUUCAUCCUCUCAUUGUUUGACAAAAUAAUUCCUUUCUUUCUAUUUCAUCUCUCUAAGUUGUGUACUUAUAAAUUCAAUCCCGACCCACUUUAAAUGCCCAUGCCCGCGCUCUCUCUUUCAUUUGUCCAUUCGUUAAAAACCGGCACAGAGGUUACUGGAGGAUUUCAUCUUUUCUUCACAGCCUGGCUGCCGCGAACAGUCAGUGUCACAGUUGGGGGUGCGUUUAAGGUGCUGUCCCCUCUAAUGGUGUUGUCGUGGCCUGGCCACUGUCUGCACGCUCUGGGCAAACUGUGGGCAGGAAAUGAGCUGGCACGAGUGGAUGGAAGGUAUUCUUUAAAGCCAUGGCCCCUUUCUCAGGCUAUUUGCUGUCUAAUAAAGCAGAGGCUGCUGAGGUCAAUGCGGUUGGAGAUAUUACAUAAUGUAAAGCUCAACAUGGAUAGCAUCCCUGGGAGG